rnacentral:rRNA from 1 species
CGAAAUGCGAUACGUACUGUGAAUUNCGGAAUUCAGUGAAUCAUCGAAUCUUUGAACGCAUAUUGCG